UAAUACCCCAUAUGCUUUCGAGUGAAAUGGAUUUAUAAUUAUCUGCCUAAAGAAAAGCUCGCGGCUGAUUGGCUUGUUGGUAAGGUAAGAGCUUACCAAGGCGACGAUCAGUAUCUGGUUUGAGAGGACGAUCAGACACACUGGAACUGAGACACGGUCCAGACUCCUACGGGAGGCAGCAGUGGGGAAUUUUCCGCAAUGGGCGAAAGCCUGACGGAGCAAUACCGCGUGAGGGAAGACUGCCUAUGGGUUGUAAACCUCUUUUUUCAGGGAGGAAUAAAAUGACGUGUACCUGAAGAAUAAGCAUCGGCUAACUCCGUGCCAGCAGCCGCGGUAAGACGGAGGAUGCAAGUGUUAUCCGGAAUCACUGGGCGUAAAGCGUCUGUAGGUGGUUUAAUAAGUCAACUGUUAAAUCUUGAGGCUCAACUUCAAAACCGCAGUCGAAACUAUUAGACUAGAGUAUAGUAGAGGUAAAGGGAAUUUCCAGUGGAGCGGUGAAAUGCGUAGAUAUUGGAAAGAACACCGAUGGCGAAAGCACUUUACUGGGCUAUUACUAACACUCAGAGACGAAAGCUAGGGUAGCAAAUGGGAUUAGAUACCCCAGUAGUC
rnacentral:rRNA from 1 species